GAUGAACGCUGGCGGCGUGCCUAAUACAUGCAAGUCGAGCGCACAGAUGAGGAGCUUGCUCUUCUUGCAUUAGUUGCGAACGGGUGAGUAACACGUGGAUAACCUACCUUUUAGACUGGGAUAACUUCUGGAAACCAUAGCUAAUACCGCAUAAUAUAUUGAACCGCAUGUUUUUUUUUUGAAAGACGCUAUUGCUGUCACUUAUAGUUGGCCCCGCUCCGCAUUAGCUAUUUGGUAAGGUACCGGCUUACCAAGCCAACGAUGCGUACCCGACCUGAGAGGGUGAUGGGCAAAACGGGACCUGAGAAAGGGCCAAGACUCCUACGGAAGGCAGAAGUAGGGAAUCUUCCGAAAUGGGGGAAAGCCGAACGGGGAAACGCGGCGUGAGUAAUGAAGGUCUUCGAAUCGUAAGACUCGGUGAAAAGGGAAGAACAGAGGUGGAAGUAAAAAUGCACGUCGUGACGGUACCUAAUCAGAAAGCCACGGCUAACUACGUG
rnacentral:rRNA from 1 species